UGAGAGCUCUCUAGUUCUGUAUGAGCUCAGCCAUGAUACGCCUUUCCUUCCAUAACAACAGUGACAUCUGGGUUCAAACAAAACUUGUUAAGCUUUUUGGAAAACUUUGUAGCGUUUAGAGCAGAUACAGCUCUUCUAAGCACCACCACCUGUGAGUGGCAAAGUACUGUCCCUUUGUGUCCCCGCUCUCCUCUGUGCGAGAGCAAAAUGUGUAAAUUUGAGCAAGUGCAUUUGUCAGGAGAAGUAACUGAAGUCUCUCAGUUCCAGCACCACCUUUGAACAGAAGAAUUGCUUGCCUUCGAGAGUUCGUGCCCCUGAGUCCUUCCCGUACGCCAUGUCAUGGAAAGACUAAAGAUCCUGAUCGUGCCUUUGCAGCCUCAACCUUUAAGCCUUAACUCUGUCACCUGGGUACGAGGUGCCUCGAGUCCCGCGAUAACAGAGGAUCCUCUGCCAAUUCCUUACAAUGUGCAUAAUGCCAAAUAGGUGAAGUUCAAAGAGUACGCUUACAUCCUUGUUUCGUUUCCAGUAGGGUUUUGUCGUUUUCUAACAUUUAAGACACAUUUGAAAGCUCUAAUGUAACUGUUCUGUGUUGGGGGAGAGGGCAGUGGGGUGUGGGGAUGCAGGAAGGGUUUAAAUCACUAAAAAUGCACAUUUAGGACUAUGUAAAUGUUUGGAUUAAGAAGUAUAUUUCUAAAAACUGGGUGCAAAGUGCAAAAUGGGAUCUAAAUAUAGAAACGCAAAGAGCUAAGAAACCAGCCAUGGUAUUUUUCUGGGAAGAAGUUAAUGCCUUUUGAAAAGAACGUUCCUCAAAAGACUGAAUUUUCACCAUUUGUAUUACUACCAGUGUAAAAUAAUACAUGUCGAGUAGAAUGUGCAAAAUUAGGAUUAUUUAAAAGUUCAGUUCUGUCAAGGUUCUUGUUGGCAAUGUAGAAUAAAAAGGUUAUGAAUCCUCUUGGAGCCA
rnacentral:lncRNA from 1 species